UACCUUGGUUGAAUUUAAAAAGCCCCAACUCAGACUCAGACUCCAGUUCAUUCAUUUCUCAGUGUACAUGUAACACCAGAGGACAGAGAAUGAAGGAAAUACCACUGUCUGUCAUUAUUGUACUACACAUCUGGUCCUACGGUGUUAAAGCUCAAGAAUCUGGAAAAGGCUGUCAAAGACCCCAACUGGUCAAUGGCUUUGUUGACCCGGAGCAGAACAUGUACCAGGAUGGCAUGACUUUGACUUAUGCCUGUGAUAAAGGUCUGAAAACACCAAUGGAAGGCUGGUGGGGGAUGAUUACAUGUGAGAAUGGUAGAUGGUCUGAUACUCCUCUGUGUACGGCCAGUCGUUCUUGUGAUGCACCUCCUCAAGUGAACCAUGCAACCGUUGUUCAACAAUAUCAAAACAAGUUUAGUAAUGGAUCAAAAGUGGUUUAUAAAUGCAAACGAUCCUACAUAAUGGAAGGGAAUGCAGAUGUAGUCUGCCUUAGGAGAAUGGACCUCAGCCCCCACAUGCAGUCAUGAGGCCUUACGGAAGUGUAGGGACAGCCAGUUUCAGUGCAAUAACAAAAGGUGUUUACCGACCAUAUGGAGGUGCGACGGCGAUGACGACUGUUCAGACAACAGCGACGAGGAAAACUGUGAAUAUGAACUACCAUGUCAUCCCAUUCAGGUUAUGAAAAUGUAGAUCAUAACGGGUUGUUCAUGAUGAAGAUGUGACUUACCGAAAGACCCGAGGAUGGAUAAUACCUUGUCCAUUUGUUCACAUAUUACAACAUAUGUGUAUUUUCUUAACAGGGCUAGGAACAGCAAAUCACCCGAAGAGAGGAAAAGAAAAAUAGAUUGUUUAGGAUAAAACUGAUAAAUGUAGCUUUUACAUUUGGGUCAUGAUAUAGAAAAUGAUUUACAGCACAAGGGCUUCAAAAUUCAAGAGGCACUCGCACAUCUAAGCAGUCUUUUUUUGCAGGUGCAUGGUAACAGUUGAACAAGAUGAAGGACAAAGGAAACCGCACACUGCUCUUGAUAGUAUCACUGAUCUUUAAUGAGCUUACGUAUCGGCCUCACGGCCUUCGUCAGGGCCGUGCACAAGGGGUUAAAAUGGAGGGGAGCAGAGUAGGGUUCCAUCAUGACCGAUCUCCAUCAUCUUAGGACUGGAUAGAGCCUCCUGGGUGGCGCAGUGUUCUAAGGCUGUGCCAGUAGAUAUCCUGGUUCGAGUCCAGGCUCUGUCGCAGCCGCGCAGCCGGCAGGGAUGUUCUUGUCCCGUUGUGCUCAAAUGACUCCUGUGGUGGGAUGAGUGCAAUGCAUGCUGACAUGAUCACAAGGUGUGCAAUAGUAAAGAACUGCUCAUGACUGGAUUACAUUUGGAAACAACAAUCUGAAACUGUCAAUAAAUGAAUGUGUAUGUGGGACACUGAUCCUCCUCUAUCUUACAUAUGGUUUUCUUUAUUUAGAGGUUGAAUUGGACAGAAGUCAAGUUUAUUUAGAGGUUGAAUUGGACAGAAGUCAAGUUUAUUUAGAGGUUGAAUUGGACAGAAGUCAAGUUUAUUUAGAGGUUGAAUUGGACAGAAGUCAAGUUUAUUUAGAGGUUGUAUUGGAUAGAAGUCAAGUUUAUUUAGAGGUUGAAUUGGACAGAAGUCAAGUUUAUUUAGAGGUUGAAUUGGACAGAGAAGUUGAGUUUAUUUAGAGGUUGUAUUGGACAGAAGUCAAGUUUAUUUAGAGGUUGAAUUGGACAGAAGUCAAGUUUAUUUAGAGGUUGUAUUGGACAGAAGUCAAGUUUAUUUAGAGGUUGUAUUGGACAGAAGUCAAGUUUAUUUAGAGGUUGUAUUGGAUAGAAGUCAAGUUUAUUUAGAGGUUGUAUUGGACAGAAGUCAAGUUUAUUUAGAAGAUGUAUUGGACAGAAGUUGAGUUUAUUUAGAGGUUGUAUUGGACAGAAGUCAAGUUUAUUUAGAAGUUGUAUUGGACAGAAGUUGAGUUUAUUUAGAGGUUGUAUUGGACAGAAGUCGAGUUUAUUUAGAGGUUGAAUUGGACAGAGAA